GUUGGGACGAAAUAAAAUGCGGGAAAGAAACCAAACCAAACCAAACGCCCGUCCUCAAUCCGAGCCCUCCCCAUCCUCGAUUCACCUCUCUCAAAUCUCAAUCUUUGCGUCGUCUCCGUCGUCCCCUAGCCGACCUCGUCGCCGCUCCUCCUCUACCACAACGCCUUGCCCCUCCUCCCAAAGUCUCGCGCCACCCCUGUCUCCCCGCGCCUCCGUGAAAUCCUAGCGGAGAUAUGGACCGGCGUUGAGCACCUCCGCCCGGUGCUGGCCGCCUGGCUAGGCCUAGCCGCGCCGUACGAAGCUGUCAGGGGACGUCAACCGCAGCGGCCGGAGCUGCACGAGCCGUCGGUGGCCAUGGCGACGGCAUGGCGUCUAAGAACCAGUGGCGGGAGAUCUCGAUUUCAUCCUCGUCGAGCUCGCCAGACCAUUCGAAGGAGAACCAAGGCCGGAAUCCCCCAGCUGUUGCCCGUGUGUGGUCGCGUGCAGAGGUCGCCGUCCGGUGCUGCUGCUGGUGGUUGACGCCGACGCCGACGCCGAUGAAGCACAAGGGGACGGCUACCUGUACAUGCUCAACCAGAAGGAGGAGCUCGCCUAGACCGACCCCGACCACCACCACGAUGCCCAUGCCCCAAACGUCCUCUCUUUUUUCCCCUCCUGUCAUGCUCUUACUCGUUAUUAUGCAACGAGUGGAUAUGCAGCUAGCUAGCUAGCUGUUUGACUUUUAUCAGGAGAGAGUCGAGCUAGUUGGAGCUGGCAAGGAGGUAUCCAUGGCUGCUGGAUCCAGCCGUCAGGCAGGGGUGACCUUCUUCUUUGACUCGGUGUGGUGGCUUGCUGUGGUGCUCCUCCUCGACUUGGUGGUGGUGGUGUUCAUGGAGGUAGUUAUGCAACACAGUUGACACUUGACUCCUUCAUCGUGCUCCUGACACGCAAUGGCGGCUGUAGCUCAGGUGGUUCCCAUUCGGUAAGCAUUCUGUGAGUUUGCCCUGUGAGCUGUGAGCUGUGUCCUUUGGUGAUCUCGAUUGGUAACCUGGCCUAUGAUCCAUCGUGUUGAUCUGUUAAGUUCGGAUUUGCUCACUUAGCUACUGUUUGUGUUGUACAAUAUUUUCUGCGUAUGUUUGAUGAAAUUGUGCUAUAUCAAGGUGAAUUUAUAGUGUUACCAUGCUAAAAUUUGAAUAUGAAUCACAAUUUAGAGGCUUUACUAGUUUAGAUUCUAUAUAAGCUCGGUUGAUUAAAAUUUACUCAAGGUUGUUUAAUUACAGCUUAAAUUGAGUGGAGUUUUAAUAUUUAAGUACGAUACUGUUAUUAUCCACUGCCCUGGAGGAUUUAAUCACAGAGCAUUUUAAUAACUGGAUGAUUUGGUUCUGGUUUGCAUGAUUGGAUUGCUUUAGAUUGUUCAAACGCAUGUUUAGCUUCAGUUUAUGGAUGUAUGGUCCUCUCGUUGGCUAUAACUGAAUGCUAAGUAUCACUUGAGUUCUAACUCAGUCUUGGGGAAUUUGGUUCAUGGCUGACCAUCAUUUUUUUUGGUUUCUUUUUGGAGGACAACAAGGAGGACAGAGGGUAGCGGCUGGAACCUGUUGGAGCAUCCAUCACUUGGAAGGAAAACAAGUGUAGACACCACCAUGUGCCUUGGUCUGUGAUGACAUAUGGUCACAAUGCCUCCCGAUAUUUUGGAUCCGAAAGAAGUACCGUAACACAAGAAUUCAUGUGUUGUAAUAACUGGCCUAGGAUGGGAUUCCAGAAAUUUGAUGUGCUUCAGCAUUUGCUGAUGCUUGUUGUUUGGUGUUGGGGGAAAUUCUGGGUGAUUGUAUGUUUGAAUGUCCCGUGGGUAUGUGCUAUUGUCUAAGUUGAUGUAUAGUCUCUGCUAUGCAGGUUUUGAUGUCCAAAAAGAGAAGGUCAUGCUGAAUUUUCAGUAGCUGGCUGGUGCUGUUAGUGCUGCUAGUUGUUGGGCAUGCUGCGCAUCAUGUAUGGGUGGAGUUCCCCUUGCUGUAUGUUGUUUGUUAUCUUGAAUGUAUGGUGGAGUUUCUGGAUU